AAAAAAGCUUCAAUAGAAGCUACAACGAGUCACUAACAAAAUGAGU
rfam:Acyrthosiphon pisum strain LSR1 Contig27288, whole genome shotgun sequence.